AUCAGCUUUCAGUAUCACUUUAAUGCGUCAUGAAGCUUGCUUGUGAUCAAGGCGAAAGGUAAUACUUUUAGAUUUAGAUGAAAUAUAGAUGAAAUCUCAGUUAAUGAACGACAUGACGGGGUUCUUCUAUGCACAGAUUUGUCGCAUGGAUGCAUUUCUCAGGACACAUUUCCUGUUUGUGUCAGAUGAAGUCAGUGAGGCCUGGUGUCAAUGACGCUCUGGAUCUUCACACACCUGCCGGAGAUCCAGCAUCACACCUCGCAGCCCCAGAGUCGGACUGUGACCCAGAGUGCUCUGUCUCCUGGCCCAUGUCUCAUGUUGAUUGGUGGCCUCGUGUUGCCCGCUGAUCCAUUGUGAUGUCAUAUGUCUGUGCUGCUACCGGUUCCAUGGUAAACAGCCACUGAGGGAAGCUACAAAACCAGAAAGAUUCAUCUAGUCACAGCCCAGAGAUGAUGCAUCACGUACCACACAAGAAUUUGUUCUUACUUGAAUCAAAUAACUUUUAUAAAGUUAUUUUAAAUAAAAAUAAACAGAGGCCUCAGGGUUGUGGCUGAGUCCGUCCAGCAUGGAAAUUUCUUGGGAAAAAAAAGGUAUUUGUUUUGCAUUUUUAAAACUGAUUUUGGCUAGGCAGGCAUUUUAAGAUGCCAGCUGUGUUUUGGCCCAAAGACAAACACAUCUUAUCUCAGUUUCCUUGGUAAAGUGAGCGAGGGGUUUCAUAAUUCUUGCCCUGUAGUGGGAAGUUCUCGGCUUCCCAUCCAAACUCGAGGCCCUCAGCACUGGCGUACGGGACGCCCCCGCAGGCCCACGGCAUUAUGUGCUAAUUAUACAGUAUUAUGCUUAAAUUUGGUAAUAGAGCAAUUUCAGUCAAGCGAACUGAUCCAUAUACAAAUGUAUUUACAUGUAUCACAAUAUCAAGAAACAGAAUACUGAUUAGUGAUUCACAUACAAAGCAAAUUGAAAACAAAACGUGCCCUGACUGACAUGACAAAUGGUGGCGCAAAGUCCAUUCCAUUAUUAAAUCAUUGAGUAACUUUCCUUUCAUUUGUCAUUUUCUCUGCAUUUUGGAUGUUGGAUGUUUACUGAGUGGUUUAAAAUGUAAUUCUCCACCUCUGACCUGCUGUAGAUUUGCUGUAGCCCACCAGACUUGUGGUUUCUAAAUGACAAAAAACUAAAUGAUGAACAGAAAAUACAAAAAGGAGAAAACUAUUUAAAGGAAU